rfam:Triticum aestivum genome assembly, contig: Triticum_aestivum_CS42_TGACv1_scaffold_392603_5AS
AUUGUACUCUCUUCGUUUAAAAAUAUUUGUCAUCAAAAUGGAUCAAAGAAGAUGUAUCUAGAUGUAUUUUAAUUUUAGAUACAUCUUAUUUUAUUUAUUUUAAUAACAAGUGUUUUCCAACGGAGGAAGUAAGUU